UGGGAGUGAGAAUGUUGGCAUGAGUAGCGAGAUGUGGGUGAGAAUCCCACAGGCCGUAAACCCAAGGUUUCCAGGGGAAGGUUCGUCCGCCCUGGGUUAGUCGGGACCUAAGCUGAGGCCGAAAGGCGUAGGUGAUGGACAACAGGUUGAUAUUCCUGUACUACCGAUAACCGUUUGAGAGAAGGGAUGACACAGUAGGAUAAGCUAAGCACACUGUUGGUUAUGUGUGCCCAAGCAUUGAGGCAGGCAAAGUAGGCAAAUCCGCUUUGAUAAUGCUGGGGUGUGAUGGGGAGCGAAAUUUAGUAGCGAAGUAGCUGAUUUCACACUGUCAAGAAAAGUCUCUAUCGAGGUUAAAGGUACCCGUACCGCAAACCGACACAGG
rnacentral:rRNA from 1 species